UUUUUCCUCAUCUGUAGAGCCUUUAAACCACUGCGUCCAUUAUUUAGGAAUAUUGUGAUAUGACCCAUAUUUAAUUUGGUGCUAGUCAAGUAUCCUGUCACAAUUGAGCUGUGAUGGACAAUGGUUGAUGUAACACCUGAUCCCAACUAGGCACAACUCGUUUUAUAAAGUUUAUUACCCUGUUGGGAUCACUUCUCCAAAUUUCCAAGGGCUCUAGAAACCCUUUACCAAAUAUCGCCAAUCUGUAACGGUACAGCACUCCGCAGUUGCAGAGUAAAUGCUCGGCAGUUUCGUUUUCCGUUUGACAGAAACGACACUCGGAGGAUUGGAUUUUUCCAAUCUUACUUAGAUGAUAUUUACUCGGGCAGUGGCCAGUCAUCAGACCAGUAAUUACCCUGAGAUCUCUUUUGUUUAGAUUCAGUAUGGACCUGGCUUUUUCUGCACUGGGUUUUAUGAACCUUUUUGCUUGCUUGGAUGUAUCCGUGGCAUUCCAAUUAGAUUCUACCGUAUCAGGUAUCAGGUAUCAGAAGGCCGGCUCCAGAGGCACGUUAUCCUCCAUUUGGGACAUUUGUGCCAUCGCCAUACAUAUGAGCCUAUUUCAUCAUUUACCUGAGGGAGAAUGGGACAAGGGAUGGGAAUUGGGAAAGGGAAAGGUGAUGAAAUAGGAAGGGGUGCCCUAGAAGAGGGAAUGAACGCAUAAGCGCAACGAGAGCUCAUAGCUCAUACCACAACGGGGUUAAUCAGUGCCCUAAAAAGGACACUGUAAAACGCAUAAGCGUAAAAAGAGCCUAUAGCUCAUUGGAGGUAGCUUGCGACGUCAUGCGAUUUUCAAUAUGACAUAGAAAG